ACUAGGAGUGGCCCCGGUGGAAACAAUCGAAGCGCCUCAUUGAUGAUAUUAUGAAGGCAAGGCAGCUUGUGGGUGUCGGCUUCAUCAACUAGACGGUCUCGGCCAACAAUGUCAUCUAGUUCUACUUGAGCUUUUUUCAUGACAUCCAGGUGGUUGAGCAAGAGGGACAUGGCCCAUUCUAUUGUCACCGCAGAUGUGUCUGUACCCGCACCUAUUAUUGACUGCCGAAAAUUGUGUUUAAGAAAUUAAGGAUAUACUCAGUUCUUUCAAAAAUAGAUGAAACUAGCUUUCAAAAUCGAAGAACAAUCAUGUUAAGACAUGAAGAGGCAAAUGUAAAAGGAAUAGAUUCAGUUUAAGUAAAGUGCAAACUCUAUCUGUUUCAUGCAUCAUCUAGACAUAGAAGUGUUUCAAAUUCCAAUUUCUAUUAAUUCGAGCUAAUGUCAACCUCUGCCAGAGGAUGGCGUGGAAAAGAUCUUGCCUCCUUGCCACCAUUUUAAAACGAAAUUUGCCUCCGAACGGCAUGACUUUUCACCAUGUCAAUUUUCCACCGCAGCUUGUCGAUGAUGGCAAGUUAUUUUAGGCAACAAACUUUUCUAUGGUUCGAACAGCUUGAAUCCAUCGAAGUUGCAAAAACAUGCGUAAGUUCAAGGAAAAGAAAAUGAGGAUCCCAGUUUAGCCAUUUACUGCACACAUGACUAAAGAUCCAUGGACUUGACUAAUUGACAUUUUUACGAGCUCUUUCUUUCUGACCUAUCUCCUCUUUCAUCUUUUCGAUGAACAACAAUCUAGAUAGCAGCUACCAUUCAAGAAAGAAAAAAUCAGGUAUGAUCCCGAUUCACAUGAAUCAUUAGAUGUGAACGCAACCCACAUCCACAGUUGGAUGCGAUGAACCCCAUAUGAGGCCCAUGUGAUUUAGCAUAAGCAUUGGGUUUGCAUCGAUUCGAAUCAUAUAUUAAAAGGGUAAGAAACAAGACCCUAUUACUCAAAAUAGAAAAGAAAAAUAAGACCUUUCAGAGCAUAUACAUACAGAAAGGACACAAUGACUAAUACAUGAAACUAGUUUCGAACUCUAUCAAGCAAAGUCAAGUAUAUUUAAAUUAACAUCAAUCGUCAGAUUUGUGGUAUCCAAACAAAACAAGUCAUUGCUAAUGAUCCUAAUUCAUAUAGAUACGUGUAUACUGUGAUUCUAAUCCGUCAUCCAGUGCAAGGAUAAAGAAAAAUCUUUGCUUGGGAAUGAGUCAAAGUUUUGUUCACUUCAUGGUAUACUCAUGAAAAACUAAAAUUUGCUUGGCUCUCAUUUUUAAUGAUGAUUACAUGACAGUUUUUANNNNNNNNNNNNNNNNNNNNNNNNNNNNNNNNNNNNNNNNNNNNNNNNNNNNNNNNNNNNNNNNNNNNNNNNNNNNNNNNNNNNNNNNNNNNNNNNNNNNUUUUUCAAAAAUUUGUCACUCACAAUAAACUGUUAUUCUCACAGAUUCAAUGACUGUUAUGCUAGCAAAAUCUUUUUUAUAUAAUCAACAUGUCAUUUUUUAAUUAUGUUAAAUUUUUGUAAUCCUAUAUAUUAAGUAAAUUUAUUUAUUAAAUGAAGGGUAUGCGUUAGAUUCAACCGAAUCCAAUAAUUAAGAAACAUGGCACUCUGUAUGCAUAAAUCAAGUGAAUAGAACAUGUACAUUGAUCUGGCCUUUGAUGAUGUCGUCCGAGUAGCCCUCCGAGAGCAUCGUCUCGAUCAUUGUCUUGCUCUCCUCCUCUCGGCUGCCGUCGGCAUCGCUUCUCUUCCUUCUCGACCUGUGCUCAUCUAUCAUCCCCUGCAAGAUCACAUCGGACCUGUUGGCCACGUCCACCAUCCUCCGCUCUCUACCCUUGAAGUCCACCACCUUCCUCAGCACCGGCAAGAAAUCGCCCGGGUCCGUUCCGCUCAGCUCGAAUUCCUCCUUUAUCAACUCCCUGUACUCCCUCGCCACCUCGGCGUCGCCAGCGUCGACGGCGACCCCAGAGUAGCGCUUCCCAGAGAUCAUCCUCAUGAUGAUGUUGAAGGACAGCUCCUGCAGCCUCGAACUCAUCUCCACCCUCGCAAAACCACCGCCCUGGGAGGAGGAGGCCGCCUCGUAGAGGCUCCUCGUGAGGUGCCUGACCUCCUCCUGCCGGAUGGCGAGGGAGCCGGUGAGGCGGUGCGGCGAAAGGAUCUCCACGGCCGUGAGGCGGCGGAGGUUGCGCCAGUGGGGGCCGUAGGGGGCGCUGCCGAUGGUGGUGUUGCCGUAUCCCAUGAUCUCGCCCGAGAGCGUGCGGGGGCGGUUGGCGAGGGCGAUGUCGUUCCUGGUGAAGCACUCCUCAGCCGCGGACGGGGAGGAUAUGACGACCGCGGGCCGAGAGCCCAAGGAGAGGGAGAGGACAGGGCCAUAGCGGUCGGAGAGGGACUGAAGGGUGCGGUGGACAGGCUCUUUUAUGAGGUGGAGGUGGCCGAUGAUGGGGAGUGAAGGCGGGGCCGGCGGGAGAUUUCUCUUGCUGCUUCUCUGCAAUUUGAAAAGGUAGAGAAGGAAGAGGAGGGAGGUCGCCGAGAGGAUGUACACCCACGUGUCUUCCAUGGACAACAUCUGUUGGAGGCCGCCUUGUGGAGAGAGAGAGAGAGAGAGAGAGAGAUGGAAUGGGUACAGAGACGCAAGGUGUUGCGGGUCUUGAUUUUGGUAUAGGCACCCACCAGCGUGCGCAUAAAAUCAGGGAAAAAAGGAAAAGAUUCUGGUAUGGGUGGAGUUGUUUUCUGGAAGAGCAAAAGAGAUGAGCACAGAAAACUGAUAUCUCCACAGGUUCAUCUUUGUGGCUAGCAAUCAAUUGGGUGCAUUCGUUGAGUUCAAGUGGGGCAUAAAUUGGCCGUGAAACCUUUGACGUUUUCUGCUUUUGUGUUUGGGUCAUAGUCUUAUCACGGGAGCGAAAGGUAUGGCUCCCGCUACCAUCAAAACCCGUGGCUGAUAUUGGAGCUGAGCGUUGAUUGUUUCUCGGGCGCUGUCGUUCAAUAAUUCGCUACCUAAUUCCAAGAAAGAAGUGCCAAGGCUUAUAUUAUACUGUUUAAAUUAUGCCAUUAAAAAAAAUUCAGACUAAGUUUUCCAAUGACAUGUCAUCCACUUUUCUGGAGGUCUGUAGAAUAUUUUGUCAAUUAUAUGAGUUUGGGCCAAAUUUGUAAGUGAAGAAGAAGAUUAUUAAAUUAAUGUUUCGGAUUUGAAUUCGAAUAAUAAUUUGUUAAAUCGAAUUUGUUGAUAAAUUUUUUUUUUUAAAGAUUGGAUGUAACAGUUUUCUUUCUUGGACUUUUUCUAAAGACGUGCAAAGCAAGACAAAAGAAGAAGGGUUUUUUUUUUUUUUUUUGUGACCCAGGGAACCCCCGUACGCCGCUUCGCGACUGGAGUAAACCCUGGAGGGACCCGGCCCACCACCGCUGACCUCGGCCCCUGGGUAAAUCGCGCGUUUGCAUUGAAGCAACGCGGACGCAGAGUCUCGAACUCUUCCCCCUGGCGUGUGGGGUACCAAGCCUUAACCACUACGGCCACCGCGGGCGGUGGUGACAAAAGAAGAAGGGUUAAUACCCUGAAAAAUCCCAAACUGGUACACUUGUGACAAAUUUAUCCAAAACUAUUUUUUUGACCACAAAAAAUCCUAAACUAGUAUACGUUUGACAAAUUUACUCCAAACUGGUACACUUGUGACAAAUUUACCUUUUGUUAGUUUUUAUUAAAUUUUAUUCUCAAAUUAUUAAGUUAAAUGACACGUGAUAGUUAACCAGUAUACCAAUUUAGGACUUUAUGCUCCGUUUGUCACAGUUUACAAUUUUUGUGAUUUUUUUGUGGUAUUAAUCCAAUUUAGCAAAGGGUAUAUUUGUCACAAAUUUACCAUUUUUGGGUUUUUUGCAGUCAAAUAAAUUAAUUUGAGGUAAAUUUGUUAUAAAUGUACCAGUUUAAGGUUUUUUAUAGUCAGUCGGUGUAAAUUUGUCACAAGUAUACCAGUUUGGGGUUCUUCAUGGUCAAAAAAAUAGUUUUGGGUAAAUUUGUCACAAAUGUACCAGUUUGGGGUUUUUCAAGGUAUUAACCCUAAGAAGAAAUAAGAUAUAAAAGAAAAAAAAAAGAAAAGGAAGUUUUUUUCUUCUCCUCCUUUGCAGCUACGAUUUCCCUUGCAAAAGGAAAUAGACCGUGGGGCCUAGAGUCAAAGUUGUUGACUCUGGGCACACCUAUAAUAAUUAAUUAGGAAUUCCCCCUUUGGCGUGAAGCUGCUGCAGCCUUACAAGAGUCACCAAAGUCCUUGCACGUAGAAGAAAGGAAGCAAAUCUCUCUACACAUGGAGCCAAAAAAAGAGCUGGUGGGCCCAGGUCAAAUAUUUGACCUUUGGGCACACGAAUUUCCUUUAUUCUUUUUUUUUUGGUACCCAGGGAACCUUUGCACGCCACUUCGCAGUGGAGAGUAAACCCUGGGGCGCCGAGGGCCCCCACCGCUGACCCCCAAGCGCGGAUAAGUCACGCGUUAUGCAAUGAAGCAUUGCGUCCACGAAGAUUCGAUCUCUCCCCCUCUGCGUUGGGGUAACAGGCUCUCAACCAGCGCGGCCACCACGGGCGUGCAUAAAGUGACUUAAAAACCCUACGAAAGAGAAGAAGCCACGGGCGUCAAGUUGUAGAGAGCCGCAGGCGUUUUUGUUUCAAACUUGAAAGCAUGAUAAUUUUAUGCUGUAAGUUGUUUAUUUAUAAAUAAUUUAAAUUUUUUGUUAAAUUUAGGUGUGGGAAACACUCGAGCAUAUAAAUAAUUAACAAAAUAGUUAUCACACGUAUAUUUCUAUACUUUAUAUAGAGAGAUAAAGAAGAAUAAGUCUCAAUUAUUUAAUUAUCCAUUCCUCACACUUAUUAUUUAAUAUAUAUAUAUAUAUAUAUAUAUAUAUAUAUAUAUAUAUAUAUAUAGACACACAUUCUAGUUUACUAUAUAUAAAUUAUAAUUAUUCUAAGAUAUCUUUCUAACAACAACGGGCAUAAAUAUUAAAUAGAAGUACCGAUUUUAGGACAACUUUUUUAAUAACUUACCCUCUUGUCUUUGUGCCUAUAGUGGGCCUGGUAUUUCCAUCAAUUGUGAUGGCUUUUUUGUCCCUCCAUGUUCAACAAAGCAAGACUUCUUUGAGAUUUUUUUUUUUUUUUGAAUGCUAAGACUUCUUUGAGAGUUAAAAGGGAAGAGAAUGGAAAGAUAAAAAGAUUCCUCAUGUUCUGGAAUAAUUUACAAUUGGACUGCUACCUUGUUGACUCUCUAUCUCACAAUCCUUAAAUUUGUUUAUUUUCUAAUCACCUAUUUGUCAAAUUUACUUUAGGGUCCAAUCAGCACCAACUAGUACAGAACGUAACAUUUUGUCUCACGGGCGACAUUUUCCUCCAUCUCUUGCUCCUUUUCUAUGGAAGUAAAUAUAGAUCGAGUAGUGAUUAGUACUAGUACAUAGGGCAGUAAAGAGUUGGUGGACAAAUCAUUCGAAAAACAAGAUAAAACAGCUAGAGGGACACUCCGUCACCAGAAUUUGCAUCAGAGGAGAGCAUGUUUGAAGAAAACUCAAUCAAUCGUUACCUGUAAUUCCCUUCAAUAGAGUACUAAGAUGCAACAGUUGAACACCAGUGCUAGCAUCCGACUUAAUGAUGAGCUUUCGAUAAAUAAUUCAAUCCCUUAGCUCAUGGUAGAGCGUUGGGAAGUGCCUAGAAUGCCAAAACACCAUCGUCGUCCCUAUCAUUUGCUAAACUCGAAGACCCAUCUGUGGCGAGAGUCUCCGAUCAUUCCCUCCACACUUGCAUGUCCCAGAUCGUCUUUGCCGGAUCCGGCAGUAUUAUAGCUUGAACCUCCCAAAGAGGGGGUUCGACCCAUUGAUUUCGACAGAGGAGGAGCUAGCCUGCUUCAUGUUGAGGGAUGCGAGGGGCGAGCCGUCCCGCUAUAGAAGCUGCAACGUCGGUGGAAAUGGGAGUGCUUUUUGCAGUCCCAUCGUGAGACGCUUUGUUGUUCAUGUCACACGCCAUAGGGCCCAGAUGGCAAACAAUUUUACGCUCUUUCAGGGGCCUUGACUGAUAAAUUACAAGCUUACGGAUAUUAAUAACAUGUAAACUAAACUAAAAUUCAAAUAUGGUUUUAAAAGGAUUUUGAGCUCGGUCUAUGGGCCAACCAUUGGACACCCAAAUUUUUAAACCAACGGACACGAGUGACACGAUACUCAUUACAUGACUUCAAGUAAUACAGAUCAAAUUCGUUCGAGUUAUCAUGUUAAAGGAUCUCCAUACUAUAAUCUUUCAAGAAAUUAACCUUAGUCCAUUAAUUAUUUAGGGAUGCUAAAAUUGUACACUUCUUAAGUUUUUCAUGUCGUAUUUAAACCCAUCAUUUUGCAAUGUUUUGGACCUCUUUUGUCUACCUGUGAAUUCCAUCAAACUCUCAUUUUGGAACGGAUUUCAACAAGGCAUGAUAACUCAGUAUGCCAAGCCAACCAUAUCUGUUACCGGUGCAACAACAAAUGCCCAAAAUAGAGAGAGGGAUGAACAAUGUUGCCAGUAUCUAUAUAAACCAUCAUUUUUCUCCUAAGAGAAAGGCCUAAAGCUGCAUUGGCCUCCUCAGGAUGCUAUUGAUGCUCACGAUCAUUCCUAAAGUUGCACUGGCCUAAAGCUGUAUAGUCGCUCCUAUUUUCAGUCUAUUUGAUUAUUCAAAAACAUUGGAGAUACAUCACCAAAGUAAAUUCAUUAGACAACGACCUUCUUAAAGGUGCGCAAGAACAUUAGCUAUCAUGCAUUUACGCGCUUUGCACAAGGCCUCCAAAGGCUCUCUCUUGGGCAUUGUGAGUCCCGUCCCCUCAGACAAGUCCACCAAUUCUUCGCCAACUCGUUCCCAUUCGAAGCACUGAAUAAGCGCUGCCAGGGCCAAGCUCACCACUCUAUUGGCAAGGCCAGCACCGGGACAACUUCUCCUCCCCAUGCCAAACGGCAAUAGUCGGUAGGCAUGAUCACCUUCCAAUCCAUCGUACCUCUCCGGUUUAAAAUUUGUGGGAUCGUCCCACACUUUUGGGUCUCUCUGAAUUGCCCAUGCAUUAACCAGGAUCAUGGUGCCUCGGGGCACGUCAAACCCACCAAUCGUGCAAUCCUCAGCAGACUCAUGAGGCACUAGGAGUGGCGCCGGUGGAAACAAUCGGAGCGCCUCAUUGAUGAUAUUAUGAAGGCAAGGCAGCUUGUGGGUGUCGGCUUCAUCAACUAGACGGUCUCGGCCAACAAUGUCGUCUAGUUCUACUUGAGCUUUUUUCAUGACGUCCAGGUGGUUGAGCAAGAGGGACAUGGCCCAUUCUAUUGUCACCGCAGAUGUGUCUGUACCCGCACCUAUUAUUGACUGCCGAAAAUUGUGUUUAAGAAAUUAAGGAUAUACUCAGUUCUUUCAAAAAUAGAUGAAACUAGCUUUCAAAAUCGAAGAACAAUCAUGUUAAGAUGUGAAGAGGCAAAUGUAAAAGGAAUAGAUUCAGUUUAAGUAAAGUGCAAACUCUAUCUGUUUCAUGCAUCAUCUAGACAUAGAAGUGUUUCAAAUUCCAAUUUCUAUUAAUUCGAGCUAAUGUCAACCUCUGCCAGAGGAUGGCGUGGAAAAGAUCUUGCCUCCUUGCCACCAUUAUAAAACGAAAUUUGCCUCCGAACGGCAUGACUUUUCACCGUGUCAAUUUUCCACCGCAGCUUGUCGAUGAUGGCAAGUUAUUUUAGACAACAUACUUUUCUAUGGUUCGAACAGCUUGAAUCCAUCGAAGUUGCAAAAACAUGCGUAAGUUCAAGGAAAAGAAAAUGAGGAUCCCAGUUAAGCCAUUUACUGCACACACGACUAAAGAUCCAUGGACUUGACUAAUUGACAUUUUUACGAGCUCUUUCUUUCUGACCUAUCUCCUCUUUCAUCUUUUCAAUGAACAACAAUCUAGAUAGCAGCUACCAUUCAAGAAAGAAAAAAUCAGGUAUGAUCCCGAUUCACAUGAAUCAUUAGAUGUGAACGCAACUCACAUCCACAGUUGGAUGAGAUGAACCCCAGAUGAGGCCCAUGUGAUUUAGCAUAAGCAUUGGGUUCACAUCGAUUCGAAUCAUAAUUUAAAGGGUAAGAAACAAGACCCUAUUACUCAAAAUAAAAAAGAAAAAUAAGACCUUUCAGAGCAUAUACAAUACUGAAGGACACUAUGACUAAUACAUGAAACCGGUUUCGAACUCUAUCAAGCAAAGUCAAGUAUAUUUAAAUUAACAUCAAUUGUCAGAUUUGUGGUAUCCAAACAAAACAAGUCAUUGCUAACAAUCCUAAUUCAUAUAGAUACAUGUAUACUUUGAUUCUAAUCCGUCAUCCAGGUGUAAG
rnacentral:lncRNA from 1 species